rnacentral:rRNA from 1 species
GACGAACGCUGGCGGCGUGCUUAACACAUGCAAGUCGAACGGGUCUGCCCUGUUUUUUGCGGGGUGGGUCAGUGGCGAACGGGUGAGUAACACGUGAGUAACCUGCCCCUCACUUCUGGAUAACCGCUUGAAAGGGUGGCUAAUACGGGGUGUUCUGGCUGUGCCGCAUGGUGUGGCUGGGAAAGAUUCACUUUGUGGUGUUUUGGUGGGGGAUGGGCUCGCGGCCUAUCAGCUUGUUGGUGGGGUGAUGGCCUGCCAAGGCUUUGACGGGUAGCCGGCCUGAGAGGGUGGGCGGUCACACUGGGACUGAGAUACGGCCCAGACUCCUGCGGGAGGCAGCAGUGGGGGGUAUUGCACAAUGGGCGGAAGCCUGAUGCAGCGACGUCGCGUGAGGGAUGGAGGCCUUCGGGUUGUGAACCUCUUUCGCCGGUGAAGAAGGUCCUGCUCUUUGGGGUGGGGUUGACGGUAGCCGGGUUAUGAAGCGCCGGCUAACUACGUG